AGCAGUGUGGCUUAGUGGCAAGAACCUGGGUUUGGGAGUCAGAGGUCAUGGGUUCAAAUCCUAGCUCUGCUG
rnacentral:tRNA from 1 species